GCCGGUGGUUUGGCUAAGGGGAUCCACCUGUUCCCAUCCCGAACACAGAAGUUAAGCCCUUAUACGCCGACAGUACUGGAUUGGAGACGAUCUGGGAGGAUAGGUAGCUGCCGGCU
rnacentral:rRNA from 1 species